GCUUUAGCCUCUUUAAAGGACAUCACACUCGCUAAGACUUCCAGAAGAAAAAAAGCAACAUAGCACAGAUUGACCAUAGGCAUGUGACCCAAUUCUAGCAAGAGACCCACAGGAGAGUCUGCGAGGAAGCUUCUGAGAAAAGUUUUCUUUUCGGCUAAGGUAUGAAGUAAAGAACUGUCCAUCUUUCUUGGCAGACCAUGUCAUCACUACAUGCCACACCUAAGCUACAACUGUACACAUAGAAGCAGGUGAUUAAAUAAAGGUACAUAAAAAGAAUCGCAUUGCUUCUCUUUAACGUGUGCUUCUGGAAGGAAACUCUUCAGUUUAUACCAACCAUCAUGAAGACUGAGACCUACAAAGACCAUCACCUAUUCACAGUCCACAGUGACGGAUGUACCUGGCUUUUUUCCCCCAGCAAGCCAGUGGCAUGAAGAACCAGCUGUGUGAGAGAAUCCUGUCAAUGAAUGCAUUGCUGUGCACUGGCUGAAUCACCUUGGUGGGGAAACUCGGGAGUCACGAACUCAUGUCUCCCCUUAAUCAAGCUUCUUAACUCCUAACUGUCCAAGAAAACAGAAGCACACCUACAAAGCCUCGGGUACAGAUGUGCACAGAACAUACUUAAAAUAGUCCCCAAACUGCAGACAACCAGGACUAACUCUUCCACAGCCUUCAAAUGGACUCAAGAAAUUGCGGCAUAUCUGUAUAAUGGAAUCCUACACGGUAUUAGCAAGAAUUGAACUCUUCAUAUAUGUAGCAUCUGUGAAUCUCAGGAGCAUGUGGCAACCGAGAGAAAGCCAGUCUAAAACACUAUAGAACCUGUGUGUCUGCUGGACUGUGCACAUACAGCAUUCAUGAAGAACUGUAGGUAAUUCACAGCAUGCUGGAGUUCAACAUGACUCAGAGCACACGCAUAGUAUGUAGUUGCUGUAUGUGGGGCUGCCGUCAAUGGCUAGGGAUUUUCUCAAAACCAGAGAUGCUUCAAAAGAAAAGUGGCCCCUGAUGUCUUAAGAUAAUAAGGCCCAGGGAGCUUAGUAUUAUCCUUUUCACUUACGUUAUGUCUACAGAUUAUGUUGAAGCAUUGCAGAGAGAGUGGGGCAGGAGACUAGUCCAGUUGCUAUAGUGUUUGUAGUUUGUGUGCAUACCAAGAAGUGAAAUACGAGCUGACUUGGUUUUAUGCAGCAUCCAUGCAAGAACAGGUCAUAAAGUACAUAACACAUAAUUUUGGCUAUUCUGCAAAUUAAAAUUUACACUUAAAGCUGCUAUUUAACAAUAUAAAAAUGGACUGUAACUUUUGCCCUAAUAAUUAAAAGAAAUUUAAUGUUCUCCAUUUAAAACAUUUAAUGGCAAGUGAAAAUACUGAGCUAAGUUGAAAGGGAUUCCAGAAAGAAAACACAUUUUACUUUAUUACCCUAAAUAGCAUUUUUCCUAUACUUUCUGAACAGAGUGGAACAUAUUUUUACUUUGCAAUGAGUUGUAUAUAGUCGCAAUCCUAAAGAGUGGAGGGAAACUUGCUAUAGGAACAAAGUGUUGCGUAAAUGUGAGGGUAAAUGCAUUAGACACAAAGAACCCAGAUCAAAUGAUGGACAUAGAUGUAAUAUACAAGGCUGGCAGAAAGAGGAGGGGCCCGAGUAUUCUGGGCUCAAGCCCACAUUGCUUGUUGAGAUGCUUUUGUUCUCUCUCCUAUACUGAGUCCCAAAUCCUGAAAAGUACACUCAAAACUCUCUUCUAGUCAGUGUUCCCUAAGCAUCUGACAGCUGUAGAUGUGUCUUGAGAGAGAGAGAGAGAGAGAGAGAGAGAGAGAGCUGGGCAAUCUAAGUAAAAUGGUCAAUUAAUGGGGGAGAUGUAGCCCCAAUUGGGCAUCACUUGUCAACAAAUGAAACUUCCAAUACUGGAACUGGGUUACAUCUAACUUAGUUGUUGACCAAAGAGGUCCCAAGGGAAUCCCCAACUAUCCCAAGCUGUUUCAAAGACUAUAGUUUGCUCUCCACAAACUGAUGGCAAGGCCCCAUUGCUGGAGACACCUACACAAUUCAUUAUACACAGAAAAGUAAAGUCUAUAUAGAGUCUUCAGCCCUCCAUCUCAGUACAUUUGGUAUAGGAAGGUACUCUGCACAAUACCAAGGGAGAAAUGUAAACACCAACCCAGUCACAAACCUCCUGCCUGCAAGAUGUGCUAGGGUAAUGUUGGCACAGCUUGUAGGAGCAACCAACCACUAUCUGAUUGGACUUAAGGUCCACUCUAUGAGAUGGAACUGGUAACAAACACUGCUCAGAUGAUCAAAACCCUGAGACUAGAUAGCCUGAGGACCUAGGGUAAAACCAAA